AAACUGGGAUUAGAUACCCCACAAUGCCUGACCCUAAAUCUUGAUACUUAUUAUACCAAAGUAUCCACCAGACAACUACGAGCACAAAUGCUUAAAAAUUCUAAGGACUUGGCGGUGCCCUAAACCCACCUAGAGGAGCCUGUUCUAUAAUUGAUAAUCCACGAUCAAACCAACCGCCCCUUGCCAAGCACAGCCUACAUACCGCCGUCUCCAGCCCACCUCAAAUGAGAGCACAACAGUGGGCAUAACAGCACCCCGCUAAUAAGACAGGUCAAGGAUAACAAAUGGGCUACAUUCCCUAUGGGUAGGGCAACACGGAAAGAAGCAUGAAACUGCUUUUAGAAGGAGGAUUUAGCAGUAAAAUGGGAUAAUAAAGCCCAUUUUAAGCCGGCCCUAGGGCACGUACAUACCGCCCGUCACCCUC
rnacentral:rRNA from 1 species